AAAAUGAUGGCAGUAAGCAAGAUGUCAAAGACUUUGAACCAAGGUCCAACAUUUCAGCUUAUGGAGACAAUGACAUUGAUGUAAAAGAAAAGAAUGGAGCCAUUAAAGAUUUUGAACCUAGACCUAAUAUUUCAGCUUAUGGAGAAAAUGUCAUUGAUGCUGAUGAAAAGAAGAAACCAGUCAAAGAUUUUGAACCAAGACCCAAUAUUUCAGCUUAUGGAGACAAUGACAUUGAUGUUAAGGAAAAUAAGGGAGCCACCAACGAUUUUGAGCCAAGACCCAACAUUUCAGCUUAUGGAGACAAUGUCAUUGAUGAUAAUAAAAUGAAGAAACCAGUUGAAUAUUUCCAACCAAGACCAAACAUUUCAGCUUAUGGAGAAAAUGACAUUGAUGUUAAAAAAAGUAAAGAUUUUGAACCAAGACCCAACAUUUCAGCUUUUGGAGACAAUGACAUUGAUGUUAAUGAAAAGAAGGGAGAUACUAAAGAUUUCGAACCAAGACCAAAUAUUUCAGCUUAUGGAGACAAUGCCAUUGAUGAUGAUGAAAUGAAGAAACCAAUUAAAGAUUUUAAACCAAAACCAAACAUUUCGGCUUAUGGAGACAAUGUCAUUGAUGCUGAUGAAAUGAAGAAACCAGUCGAAGGUUUUGAACCAAGACCAAACAUUUCAACUUAUGGAGACAAUGUCAUUGAUGUUGAUGAAAUGAAGAAACAACAAGUCAAAGAUUUUGAACCAAGAACCAACAUUUCAGCUUAUGGAGACAAUGACAUUGAUGUUAAAGAAAAGAAGGGAGUCACCAACGAUUUUGAGCCAAGACCCAACAUUUCAGCUUAUGGAGACAAUGUCAUUGAUGCUAAUAAAAUGAAGAAACCAGUUGACGAUUUCCAACCAAGACCAACUAUUUCAGCUUAUGGAGACAAUGCCAUUGAUAAUAGUAAAACGAAUGAAGUCAUCAAAGAUUUUGAAUCAAGACCCAACAUUUCAGCUUACGGUAACAAUGAAGUUGACACUAAGAAAAAAGAAAAAGCUGCCAAAGAUUUUGAACAAAGACCCAUUAUUUCAGCUUAGGAAGACAACAUCAUUGAUGCUGAGAAAGAUGACGAGUUCACAAAGGAUUUUGAACGCAUGCCAAGAGUCACUAAAUAUGAUGCAUAACUUUAAUAAUUAAAAUAAAAUGCUAUUUCAAUUUCUGAUGUAAUACACUUAAUAAGUCAUUGCUACUUUAUGUUCAAUGAUAUUUAGUAUAUGUAUUAUGCAUUAAGCUUUUUGAAUGAAGGAACUUCUCCUUGUUUACUGAUGACAGUCAGUCAUUCACUAUUUUUAGAGUCUUUUUAUGAUAUUUUUGAGUUCACAAGCAAUCUUAAGCAACAAGAAAAGAAAGAAAAGUAAGAAAAAACUGAAGAAACUGAAAAGUGGGCAUCGUGUCACGAUUACUAAAAAGCGUGUCACGAUUUGGAACAUAGGAUGAGUUCAUUCAAGAUUGGUUAAAACGUGUCACGAUGGCUAUUUCGUGACACGAUUUUAAGAACAUGUGGCAAGAGAAAAUAUGAUCAAAAAGAGCAAAACAGGAGGUGUCAAGAAGUAAUGGAAUUAAGAAUUCCUAUUAAUUAAUGGGCUAUGUUGAUCCAAGAGGAGAAAAACGUGAUUAAUUGGAAAGGCAGCUGGGUUAGAUGAACCUAUAUAAAGAAGCAACAAGAGAGCUGCAAAUUAUCUUUCAAAAAAAAAAGAGAGAGCUGCAAAUUAUUCAAGAUGGUGACAUCACGGUUACGGCAAGAAUCACGUUUGGCACUUGUUGGAGAAGAAAAACGGGAACAAGCAUAUCACUAAGGAAGCAACAACGGCAAUUGAAAGAAAAUUGAGGAGCACUGUCGACAACGACUAAACUUUAUUGGUUUAAUUUCUUCUUUAUGUUGUUUGCUUAUUUGAUUAUGUCUAGCUAAACAUGGUUAGUCUAGGAAUGUAUAAUCCUUUACUAGUGAUAUUAGGUUAACGUGCUUAAAACCUUCAAAGAAUAUUAGCUCACCUAAGGAAUUAGGGACUGUAAUAUGAGAAGAGGGUCCUAACUCAAGGGAUGAAUUAUGACUAUUUUGUUAACUAUCGUGGAACUAGAAAAUCAUUCAUAAGAAUAGGUGCAGUAUACCCAUUUGGGGAACAUUGAUGACUCGAAAGACCUAGUCUCAUCUCUCCAUAUAUAGUUUCCAAAACUAUCUUUAUUUUCUGUUUAUUUAAUUUUAUGCAAUCAAAUCAAAUCUACAAACAAAAUAAUUUUUACAUCCUAAAUAUUUACUUUAUUGCUAAAUUGAGAUUAAUACAUUCUUCGUAGAUACGAACUUAUUUUAUUACUUCGAUGCAUGUUUAAUACACUUGCUAAAAGUCUAUCAUUUACCAAGAAUAGGAUAUAGUCUUGGUGAUUACAAGAAUGUUUCUUCGACAUUAAUAACUUCCUUGGCAGAUGUUAAAAUAUGGCGAUAUUUCCUUUAGAUCAAUCGAUCCUUCUUUUUGAAAUUAACCUGCACCGGCCCUUGUAUGUGUUUCAUGCUUCAUGUGCUUGAGCAUAUCACUCUAGUGUUUCCAGUUCCCACCAUUAAUGUCUAUCUUGUUUCCUAUUAUAUAACAACUACAAAAGAAAAAUUAUCUACAUCUAAAGGACUUUGCAUGUCAAGAAGAUACUCAAUCAUACACAAAAUUGUUAACGAAGUUUGAACAAUUUAAAAGAAAAUGUAACAAAAACGAAAAUGAAUUGAGGAAAACAUCUAGCUCGUAGGCCCACAGUUUUAAUUGCAUAUGUAUGUUACCCACGACGUAAACUUCUAUGGCUGAAGGAGUAUUUUUUUUACCAGAACUAUGGCUAAAGGUUAACGUGGGUAUGUGGCAAUUUUCUAGCAGAGCUUGUAUUAUUGCAUUAUCGUAGAACUACUAAUUUUUACUCCAAACACUCGGACAUUUUAUUGACGAGAAUUAAAAUUAGAGGUGGGAAGUUCCCGCGAGAAUGCAUAGUUUAGCUGGCAGGGACAAUACAUUAUUAUUAUAUAUAGAGAUUGAGGUUUGAAUCCCGAACACUCCACUUAUUCAUCUUAAAAAUGAAUUCUAACCAACUACAUCAAAACAACUCAAAUGACAAAGAAUGCAAGCCGUUUGCUAAUAAGUCUUAAAAUUUAUCUUUUUUUUUAAGUAAGUCUUAAAAUUUGAGCUACAACCAUUGAAAAUAAUUUAUAGCUAACAUUACUAUAUAGCGAUGAGGCUAAAUCGUUUCACUUUGAAACGAGCUUCAGCCUUAAGAUGAGAGCGGUUAGGGUUAUGUUUAUGUCAUUGAUCUUUUCCAGAUUUGAGAAACACCCCCGAGCCAAAUUUCAAGUAGGAAAAUCCAAAGUGUUAAAGUUGCUUUUGAAUAAAAUAGAUGAAAUCAUUUGGGCAUGGAGACUUAUAAAUUACCCAUAGUUCAACAAAAGCAACCUGAACCUCAAUGAGGUUACCUCAUUAUCCGUCACCGAUCAUCAACAUAGUUCUAUCAUGCUGAAUAUGCUAAGAUAAUUAUUAUUGGUCCCUUAGUAAAUGGAAACAAACUUUUUUUAAUCACCCUCUUCAUAAAUCUAAGAAUCCUUGGCUCUGUUCGGUAAAAAUAAGCUAUAAGCUAGCUGAUAGCUGAUAAGUUAGCUGAUAGCUGAUGAGUGAUAACUGAUAGCUGAUAGCUGAAAAGCUUGCUUAAUAAAAAUAAUGUGUUUGGUAAAAUUAGUUGUUGAAGUGGCUGAUAAAUAUAAAAUGACAUUUUUUUUUUUAAUAUACAUAUAAACACACAUUUUUUUGUAAUGUAUUUAUUUUUUAAUAUUUUUAAUUAUAGUUAAAUAUGUUUUUGGUCCCUAUAAAUAUUCAAAUUUUUGGUCUUAGUCUCCAUAAAAAAAUUCUUCGACCUUUAGUCCUAAAAAAAAAAUCACUGACAAUUUUGAUCUCUGCUUUAUGUAUCCCAAAAUUAAGAGAAAGGUGGAAACAAAAAGUGAGUUAGAAUAUAUAAAAUUUUACAACGUACAAAAGACUAGUUAUUUUUUCCUUUAAAAAAAAUAGGCUAGUUAUUUUUUUUGUGGUGUACGGCAGGUUAGUUAUAGCAAAAUAUAAAGCAUUUCCUUAAAAUAUAUAUAUAUAUAUAUAUAUAUAUAUAUAUAUAUAUAUAUAUAUAUAUAUAUAAAGUGCUCCUUAAAAAAAAAACUAUGUUGCAUUUUUUUUAAGGGAAAAAAUGGGGCGGUUAUAAAGAUGAACAUGAGUAGUUGUUUAAUUAAAAAAAUAAUUAAUUUAAAUUAAUAGGGUUAAAGUUGGAAGAAAAUAUAAAAAGCUACCAGCUAUAAGCUAAAAAGCUACUUGAAAUAGCUUUUCAAAAAACGCUAUAAGCUCAUGAAAAAAGCUUGUUACCAAACACGUCACGUUUUCAUCUAACGAGCUUAUAAGAUAAUCCAACAAACUAUAAGUUAACUUUUUUGUGUUACCAAACAUAACCCUUCUGUUUUUGGAGAGUAACAAUCCUAUUGUAACGUUUUUACUUGAGCGUUAAGAGAUGGAAGAACAGGGUAUUCAGAUCACCUUGGUUCCCCCUAACUUAUAGCGACACUGUCGGUAUCAGUAGUUGUCAUCAAAUUUGAUAAGCCAAGCCACCUUUAAUCCGCUCAAGUUAUUAAUCAUUCAAAGGCAUUUUCGGAAUUAAUCUUAAGCAGUUCAAGUUAGAAAUGAUUUGUUUAUUUAUGCGUUGGAGUCUAACAUGUCAAAUAUUAAAAUCACAACAUAUAAAUAAAAGCAUAAAUUUUAUUCUUAUCAAUGUUUAAUUUAAAUAUGUCUUCAAUGGCGUACCCUUCUCCCACAAAGACGCAUUUUUAGUAAUGAUGUUGAAAUCAACUUCUAUAGAUUGAGUAAACUCUGCAUUAUUUAAAAGAAAAUUUGAAACAAGAUUUUUUCAAAUUUAUGGAGUGUGCAUCACAUCCUCCUUCAGUAUUAGAGUCUUUCUGGAGAUGAACUUCAUCAUAUUAGUUUAAGUAACACAUGGAUCAAAUAAUCUUGAAACUUAAGUUGGAGUGCGCAAGCGGAUAAGGCUGGUUUUUUGUUUUGUUGCUUAAUAGCAGUUUUAGUCCCCUAACUUUUCUAAAGUUACGAUUUUGAUCCCUUAAGAAAAAGAACUACAAAACUGUCCCCUAAGUUUUGCAUAUGUGGCAGUUUUGACCCCCAAGGUCAAUUUUGACUCGGUCUACGCUCACGUGGCACCUUAAGUGAGGCGCCGCGUGUUAUUUUUCUUUACCAAAAAGUGCUAUUGGGGGGCCAAAACUGCCAGAGUUGCAAAACUUAGGGGCCGGUUUUGUAGUUUUUUUUUCUUAGGGGGCCAAUAUCGCAAAUUCGUGAAAGUUAGGGAGCGAAACUGCUAUUAAGCCUUUCUUUUAAUUGUUAGUUGGAUAAGAUUUAAACGAAACUUGUUCGUUAAGAAAAGCACUACCGGAUAAUGAUAAAAUUUAUUAAUUUAACAUUUUCGAAUGAUAAAAAAAACUUUGGCCUAAGCCCAACCCUAUGGCGUCACCGCAUAUGUGAUAUAUAUUUUCUUGAGCACUCUCGGUUCACAAAAAUGAGUAUCCAAGGCACACUCGUGAGAGUGAUUCUCCUUUUUUACUCAAAAAAAAAAAAAGAAAGAAAGAGUGAUUCUCCUUUUAAACAAACAUUAUUAAUGUGUUUCUUCUUAAAAAUUAAAAGUAAUGCACACAUUUCAAUACUUCCUCCGUCCUAAAUUAUAAGCAAAAAAAAAAAAAAUCACAUUUAUUAAGAAAACUAAAACAUAAGAAUUUGAAGUAUAAUUUUUUGUGUUUUCUUUAAAAAAAAAUUAUAGGAAGAUGUAAAAACAAUUUUCGUUGGCUAUUGGUUAUGGAAAAAGUGAAAGAGAGAGAAAAUUGAAUGUAAUUUGCGUUUAAUUUUAUGAGAAUAAACAAAAGUUUUUCUUGGGAAAAAGAUUUAAAAAAAAAGAUUAAAUAAGAUAAAAAUUUAUCUUUUUUGCUUAUAUUUUAGGACAAAGAAAAUGAGUUUUUUUGCUUAUAUUAUGAGACGGGGGGAAUAUAUGACACUUUUACCGUUUUCAAUUCACACCAUGCUAAUCCUAUCAAAUGUGAGACUUGUGUUUAUUUCAAUCUUCAUUCGUGAUUAAAUAGAAACUAACCAAUUAGAAUAUUGACAUUAGUAAGUACUCUAUGAAUACAAUAUUUAAAAGGAUACUGUUAACUUGUGCCCAUAGAGUAUAUGUUAAUAAACUUAAAAGAAGAAACUUUCUCUAAAAUUUUAUACAUUCAAUUAAUUAAAAAUUAAAAGUAAUGCACACAUUACAAUAAACUAUUUUUAUAUUUAAUUUUCCUAUUUAAAAAAGAUGCAAGAUGCACGUGAUAAGCACCAGACAAGUAUCAAUUUCAAAUCUCAAUAAUAAUCAAAGUGGAGGUGGUUUUCCUUAAAAAAAAAAAAAAAAGUAAGAGGAGGUGGUUGAAGCAAAAUUAACCCGGAUUUGCCCAGCUGUCAUUCCUAGGACGCACCUACAAUCUUAAAACCAAAAUGCUGGUCUAAUAUUAAGCAGUUAUAUUUAAAUGUUUUAAUUUUUUUACACUCAUUCAACACUUAAUUUUCAGAAUUUUUUUAUUUUUAUCUAAAAAAUUGUUUUUUGUUUAUAAGAGGGAAGAGAAAUAUAUAUUUUAAGAUAAAAGAAGAGGUAAAAGAAAAGUGUAAUUUCCUCAAAUUCUUAAUAUUAAUUUAAUAUUAAUAAUAGACACACGUGGUCACGUGCUAUCUACCAUGAUUGCUGAUUUUUUAUUUUUUUUUAGAGGAUGAUUGCUGAUCUUCUAGCUAUAAAUAGGUGAUUUAUUAGUUAUAGGAAUCAUCCACUUCCAUCGAAAUAUAAAAUCAGUGGCUUUUAAUAUCAAAGAUGAGACCUGCUCUUGCUUUAUUUCCCCUCUUGCUUUUCUUGGUAUGUUUUACUUUUCGUGGUUUCAAUUAGUAGAGUGCACUCUAAAUUCUAAUGCUUCAAAAUAAAAAAAACCUCUGAUAUUUUACAUUUAAUUGAACAAUUAUUUUCUUGUUGGAAAGUUUUUGUCUUUUCUUCCGGAUACUGAAAGUUAAUCGAUUAGUACUUCUUAGAGUAAUUUUAUGGAAAAUAUAAGUUAUUUCGUGUUUAUUUAUAUCCAUAAAAUCAUUUUUAAAUCUUCUUUAUCAUUUAUGAUUUCGUUAUAAUCACUGACGUCAAAAUUAUUGUCUGCCUUUCUGCUAUCGUAUUGCACUCAAUUGUUUGUUUAUUUCAUCUUAUUUUGUUAUUAAAUUUCAAUAAUAUAUCCCAAUCAGAUAAAGAUUUUAGGUUUAUUGAUGUGUUUAGCCCUUGCAAUUAGGCGGCAUUUAAAAAUUCGUCCCUGUAAUUGUUAAUCCUGGCAUUUUAACCCUGCAAUUGUUAAUCAUUUAAAAUUUCGUCCCUCUCCCCACUUAAUCACUGCCACGCCACAUGAAAUUCCAAAUUUACCCCUGGGUUUCCAAUUCUUUCUUCAAUAUUUUGUCCUCUUCUUAAGGGCAAAAUUGAAAUUUCAUGUGUGACAGUGAUUGCCACGUCAUCAAAUUAGUGACGUGGCAGUGAUUAAUUUGGUCCAAGGACCAAAUUUUAAACGAUUAACAAUUGCAGGGUUAAAAUGCCAGGAUUACCAAUUACAGGGACGAAUUUUUAAAUGCCGCCUAAUUGCAAGGGCUAAACACAUCAAUAAACCAAGAUUUUAUUCAUAUUGCAGUGGAAUUGCUUAUAUUAAAAUGAGAUGAGAUUUAGUUGAUUUUUUAAUUAAAAAUUUAAAUAGUAUUAUUCAAUACAAAAGAUAAACUUGUAAUUAAAAUAGUUUAACCGAAUGGUAUAAUUAGAAGAUAAAAACUCAGUCCAAAAUCUUGUACCCCCUUCACAUAGAGGUAUAGAUAGGUAUAUAUACCACAAUUAAAUAAAGAUUCAACGUGUCAUGUUUCUAUUAUAGUGAAAUUGUUCAUAUUAUACCGAGAUUUAACCAACUUUUCUAAUUAAAGGUUUAAAUAAUAUUUAAAAAAAAGUAAAAUUGUAAUAAGAAUAGUUAAUGAAGGGCACAACUGAAUGAUAAAAAGUCAUCCUAAAAUCAUAUUUCUUCUUUAUAUAUAUAUAUAUAUAUAUAUAUAUAUAUAUAUAUAUAUAUAUAUAUAUAUAUAUAUAUUGUACAACAGAAACUUGUGUUUAAAAUAAUUUUCAUUAUAAUAAGAUUUUACAUUUUUUUAAAUGUAAUUUAUUUCUUUGCUAAAAAAGUUAUUUAUUUCUCAUUAUUAACAAACUGCCAAGAUUGUGUGACACAAAUAAUAAAUAUUUUGGUCCCUUGACCAUUAGGUCCAUUGCACGGAAGAUGCCUUUUUUGAUUUACCAAAAAAUGAUUAGCAAGCUCGUUGGAAAUCCUUAAAUAUAAUUAUUUUAUAAAAAAAUCUCAAAUUAAAAAGUUCUUAUUUGAGCUAAUUAGCCAUACUUAUACGACUCACAUUGGUUAUUCACUUGAGUGAGUGUUUUUUUUCUGCAAAACAUUCAAGUGAGUGUUGGGGACCUGACCAAUAGCAAAAUAAAAAUAAAAAAACACAUAAAUAUUAUAUAAAUAUGACAUUGAUUAAUGUAAUCUUAUAAUUGAUAUUUACUAAUUCUAUUUAAAAGUUUAUUAUGUUCCAUUUAUUUCUCUUAAAAUCGCAAGCUCUCCCCCAAAAAACAUCUCCUCCACUUAAGAUCAAUCCACCUAAAUUUCUCUCCGAGAGUCAUUUUAAUCACUUUUACUUCUUAUUGAAUAGAAACCUAAAACAUCAUGAGAAAACAAAUUCUUAAAAGAAUAUCUCAAUUAAUGAUUAUUUUAAAAAUAUGUAGAUCAACCAUCUCUAAUAUUCUUGAAGUUAUUAUCGGAUAAAGAACAAUAGAUUCUGGUUGACAUGUUCCCGAUAAGAAGAUCUACUCUCAUCAGUUUGAGAAAAUGGGGCAUUCUUAAGGAACAUAAAACAAUUAUCAAUGAUUUUCCAAAUUUUAGGAUCAAUUUAUUAGGAUACAAGUUAAUAUGGUGGCUUUGCUGCUUAGAAAAGGCUUCCACAUUUUAUCUCAACUCCAACACUGCUUACGAUGUUCAAUAUGAUCUCCCUAUCCUUAAAAAAAAGAAUAUAAUAAAUAAUUAUGAGUGUUUUUUCCUUUUCGGUUAGGGAAUAAAUUUCUCUUUUAAACGAUUCUAUAUUAAAAAAGAGAGCUAUACAACUGCACAUAUAGACCAUUAUUUUUUCAUAUAUCUUAUUAAUUUCUUAUUUUGCGAUAAAGUUUGUAGCAAUUGUAGAAACAAGAAAAGAUUUGGGACAAUAUCGAAAACUAGUCAUGAAAGAUGAAGACAUGCGAAAAGAAAUUCAAGGGCUUCUUUACACCGAGACGAAAAAGAAUCUCAAGACUCCAAAGCAGUGUUUCAAAGGUUUUAAACAUGAUUGUGAAGAGCCAUUUGUAAUAGACACACAAGUCACCAUAGAAAAUGACAUCAUCCGUGCUAAGAGAAAGAAGGGAGUCACUAAAAAUUUUGAACCAAGACCAAAUGUUUCAAAAUAUGAAGAUAAUGACAUUAAUGCUGAGGAAAAGAAGAGAGUCGUCAAAGACUUUGAACCAAGACCUAAUGUUUCAGCUUAUGGAGCAAAUGAAAUUGAUGCUAAGGAUAAGAAGGGAGUUAUUGAUGAUUUUGAACCAAGACCCAAUGUUUCAGCUUAUGGAGACAAUGACGUUGAAGCUAAGAAAAAGAAGGGAAUCACUGAAGAUUUUGAACCAAGAUACAAUGUUUCAGCAUAUGGAGACAAUGGUGUAGAAGUUAAGGGAAAGAAGAAAGUCGUUAAAGAUUUCAAACCAAGACCAAAUGUUUCAGCUUAUGGAGACAAUGGUAUUGAUGUUAAGGAAAAUAAAGGAGCCAAUACGGAUUUUGAACCAAGACCAAAUUACGUUUCAGCAUAUGGAGACAAUAAUAUUGAUGUUACAGAAAAUAAAGGAGCCAAUAAAGAUUUUGAACCAAGAC
rnacentral:lncRNA from 1 species